AAGAAACUGGCCGCCCUCACCUUCCUUCGCAUGCAGCCCCGAUGCCUUCCUUUCUUGCGCCGCCACCACACCGCACGACGCCCGGCAGCCCCAUCUCCUCCCUGUACCGUGCCGUCGAGUAGGCGGAAGCUCCUCCGUCACCUCCUCCACGAUCAUCUUGUCCUCUCCCCUGUUCGAGAUCUGAUUGUCCUCCUGCACGCUGAUUCCCCGCAACAUCGCGGCCGCCCUACACCUACACGCGAGCCCGCCGCCGCCACGGGAGCCUGCCUGCCGUCACCCCAAGCCCGCCUCUGCUGAGGCCGUUGCCAUGUGAGCCUGCCGUCCCCGCGAGAACCGGCUUCCGCUGAGGCCUCCGCCAUGCGAACCCGCAGCCGCUGCACCACGGGAGCCUGCCCGCCGUCGCCCCAAGCCCGCCUCCGCUGAGGCCGUUGCCAUGUGAGCCCGCCGUUGCCGCGCGAACCGGCUUGAGCUGAGGCAUCCGCCACAACACGUUUUUUUCUUAAAAAGUGCAGAUCCAAUAGGACCGUAGGGUCUGGUCUGUACUGCGGAUGCUGUGAGCACAUGAUGUUUGUGGUAAUAUUCCCAGAAACAAGUGAUCGACGCAACGUGGUACUAAUUGAUGCAUCUCUUGUAUAAUUUUCUUAUUCUGACUUAGUUGUUAACUUGUUAUAAAGGUUAACUGAUUCGGAAGUUACCAAAGGAGCUCCGGGUGGGGGAUUUUAAUCAUAAAAGAUGGUUCUUUUUCCGCUCGAAGUAACAGUUCAGCGACUUUAUUUCAAGGGCAUAUGUUCUCAUUGGUUACCUGAAGUCAGUUUGUUCUUGAUUUUAUCUUCACUCAUUGAUAGGUUACAUAUGAAUCGAUUUCAUCAUAUUUUGUAUUGUCACAUGUGAUUUAAUUGGCUCAAGUUGUCGGUAUUCGUCGAAUAAGGUUCUACAAAUAUUUUCAGCAAUUAACUCUAUAUAUGGUUGCCAGACUAAGUUGCAUGAGCAAGAAUGCAUGUUUUGCUGCUUUUUUUUGCAGAUUUUUAGUCAAUGAAAUAAAUGGUUAUAGGGAUGUAUGUUCGGUAUAAUUGGACUGCAGCUCUAUGAUCCCUAUCCAUUGAGGUUUGGCAAGUUAUAAAAAAAUAGGGUGAAGGAGAACAUCUAGCUCACGAGGGGGCUUCACAUGGUCGCCGAUAUCCAAUACCUUCAUUAUCGUGAGGCGCUCAUGUGGAAGUGUAACCGGGACUAUGAGGAAUCACAGAAUAAUGAGGAAUCGAAGUUCAUAUUUGGGAAGGAAAAUAUUACACUAAAUAAAAAAGUCAACGAUGUGCCAAAAUGCUAUUAUGGAGAUGUGAACUGUGAUCCAUGCCUUUGUACAUAGCAAUCACCUGUAAGUACCAGUUUGCUGGUUGCACCAUCUUAUUUCGUGCCAUAAUUUACACUUCCAUUUUCUGUGGAGAGACAAAAUUUUGUUAAUUUGUCUCGGACCAUUUUUUCUUCAUAGCUGGCUGGCUUAAGAAUGUUUGAAUUUUUUUGUUAACGUUAAAUUAAGAAAUGCAUCAAC